UGGGGAAUAUUGGACAAUGGGCGAAAGCCUUAUCCAGCCAUGCCGCGUGUGUGAAGAAGGUCUUCGGAUUGUAAAGCACUUUAAGUUGGGAGGAAGGGCAGUAAGCGAAUACCUUGCUGUUUUGACGUUACCGACAGAAUAAGCACCGGCUAACUCUGUGCCAGCAGCCGCGGUAAUACAGAGGGUGCAAGCGUUAAUCGGAAUUACUGGGCGUAAAGCGCGCGUAGGCGGUUCGUUAAGUUGAAUGUGAAAGCCCCGGGCUCAACCUGGGAACUGCAGCCAAAACUGGCGAGCUAGAGUAGGGCAGAGGGAAGUUGAAUUUCCUGUGUAACGGUGAAGUGCGUAGAUAUAGGAAGGAACACCAGUGGCGAAGGCGACCACCUGGGCUCAUACUGACACUGAGGUGCGAAAGCGUGAGGAGCAAACAGG
rnacentral:rRNA from 1 species